rnacentral:rRNA from 1 species
UACGUAGGGUGCAAGCGUUGUCCGGAAUUAUUGGGCGUAAAGAGCUCGUAGGCGGUCUGUCGCGUCGAAUGUGAAAACCCGGGGCUCAACCCCGGGCCUGCAUUCGAUACGGGCAGACUAGAGUUCGGUAGGGGAGUCUGGAAUUCCUGGUGUAGCGGUGAAAUGCGCAGAUAUCAGGAGGAACACCGGUGGCGAAGGCGGGACUCUGGGCCGAUACUGACGCUGAGGAGCGAAAGCGAGGGGAGCGAACAGG